GAUGAUGAUGGCUGUGUUCUUACUUGUUUUUCCCUGUAAAAGUUAAAUGUUACCACUUCCAGACAAAAAGCAAGCUUCCAUAUUUAGUGACCCCCCGUUUCUGAUUGAAAUGGUUUGUUCUGCUUUAGGGUUUGACGGUGUUUAGUAGCAGACAGAAUGAGAACCACACAAAUAAUAACGAUGCUGCUUUGAAAUAUAAUUAAACUGGUUUUAAAAAAGGAAAGAGAAAAAAUAAAAAUAAGAAAUAAAGCAUGUUAAUCUGUUACAACGUUUUUCACCUAGAGAGCAGACGAGUCGAAGUCAACAUCGGUCUUCACCCCCAGACCAGCCUCCCUCCUCCCGGGAUUAAGUCGACAUAUGUGGUGCGUUCGAUCUCGACAGGCUGCCCCUGCCGGUCGUACAGCGCCAGAACGAAGUGGAAGAAGUUGGAUUUCCUCAGGUUGGACGGCGGCUGCUUCUCAAAGUGAGCUCGAGCUAACCCC